rnacentral:rRNA from 1 species
CACGUAGGGCGCAAGCGUUGUCCGGAAUUAUUGGGCGUAAAGAGCUCGUAGGCGGUGUGUCACGUCGUUCGUGAAAACCUGCAGCUUAACUGUGGGCGUGCGGGCGAUACGGGCAGACUGGAGUACUGCAGGGGAGACUGGAAUUCCUGGUGUAGCGGUGGAAUGCGCAGAUAUCAGGAGGAACACCGGUGGCGAAGGCGGGUCUCUGGGCAGUAACUGACGCUGAGGAGCGAAAGCGUGGGGAGCGAACAGG